GCUCUCCUAGGAGACCUGAAGGCUGCUUCCGCUAACCCAGGCUGGCGCUGCUAACCUCACCCAAGGAGCCCUGCUGUCGGAAAAUUUCCAGAGGCACCAUCCCUGCUAUGAAGAGGGAAUGCCAGUACAACAGCCACAAGGGGUCUUCCUGUGGCCCUCAAACAAAAAAUCACUGCAUUACAUCAGCAGACUGCAUUGGAGAGAAAGGCGCCGGGACAGAAAAGCCUGAGAUAAACCACCUGUCAUUCUUGGAGAAAAGGAUGCUCCGGCCUUCCCGAUUUGGUUGAUGAGAUGAAACAUCAACCCUUACAGAAAGACAUCACCAAUUCCGGAAAGGAUGCUGCGCCAGUCACGUUUCCGCACUUUGUGAGACGUUGAAAUCUCCAGAAGUUGCCCAAGGUUUUCAAGUUGAACACGGGAGAAAUGACUCGAUCUCUGAGGACUGUUUUCCUCAAUAAGGAGUUGCAAUCUUGGCUCCACCACCCUCCCUCCAAAACAUCUCGUGUGUCUGGUAUCUGGUUAUAUUGUGGCCUGACAGAGAAGUUUCUUUCGGGGUCAGUGAAUUUAAAAAAAAAAAAAAAAAAAGAAAAGCAGGUCCUACCAACACAUUAAUACUUUAAAUUUCGCUCUUUAUAGUAGGUUGAAAUGUCAGUAUCUCUUAAGAACAAUGGCUGAACCAAAUGUUUCCUCAAAACUCACAGUUUUUCCCACCAUUUCAGAAGCUGCCUCAGGACUAAGCUUUGAUUUUUUUUUUUUUUUAAUCUGGCCCAAAUUCCUAUCUAAGGGGCCUGGGGAGUCAUGCCCUACAAACCAUAAAUUCUCAUCAGAUAAGUUUUAUUUAACCCUAUAUAUGGUGACUUGCUUUCCAGUCUGACUCUGGCAUGACAUGUGACAAAGAAGAAAGUCAACAUAUUUUACCCCAGAACAUGUUUCUUUAACACAGCUAGAUCUUUUUCUUCCAGGCCCUCCCAAUCCUGAAGAGAUUGAGAGUCUAGCAUUGUUUUAAAGGUCUGAAUAGGAAACAUUUGUCAUCUGUCAUCUCUAAGGGCAGCCAUUAUAAGACUUCAAAAGAACCUUUUGAAGUCUUAUAAUCUUUUAUCUUAACCUUUUAUUUUAACCUGAACAUGUCCUUCCUAUUGAUCCCAGGUCUUCAGACAAUUGUCAACUCAACCAUUUGUCAAUUAGAAAAUGUUUAAAUUGGCUGGGCACAGUGUCUCAUGCCUCUAAUCCCAGCACUUUGGAAGGCCGAGGCGGGUAGAUUGCCUGACCUCAGGAGUUCAAGACCAGCUUGGGCAACAUGGUGAAACCCCGUCUCUACUAAAAUACAAAAAAUUAGCUGGGUGUAGUGGCAUGCACCUGUGUCCCAGCUACUCGGGAAGCUGAGGAAGGAGAAUUGCUUGAACCUGGCGGGCAGAGGUUGCAGAAGCAGAGAUUGCGCCACUGCACUCCAGCUUGGGCAACAAAGUGAGACUCCGUCACAGAAAAAAAAAAAAAGAAUGAAAAUGUUUACAUUUACCUAUAGCCUGGAAGUCCCUGCUUUGAGUUACUCCAUUUUCUGAACCAAACCAAUGUUAUUUCUUAAACGUAUUUCAUUGAUGUCUUAUGCCUCCCUAAAAUGUAUAAAACCAAGCUGUGCCCCGACCACCUUGGGCACAUGUUCUCAGGACCUCCUGAGGGCUGUGUCACAGGUCAUGAUCACUCAUAUUUGGCUCAGAAUAAAUCUCUUCAAACAUUUUACAGAGUUGACUCUUAGUCAACAUGCCCAUAUCUGAUGAGAUGCUUCAUCAAAAUUCUAGUGGACUGGCUAGUUCAGAAAAUGGACCAGCCAGGUUUGCUUAAAUGCACCCCUGCACAACUAUCUCACUCCUGCUUGGAGCCGGCUAGAUCAGGAGACCUGUCCCUAAACUAAUAUACUCCAUGUCUUAAGUCUUUUUGUUUUGUUUAGAUUUUGUUUUUGAGAGAGUCUCAGUCUGUCACCCAGGCUGGAGUGCAGUGGCGUGAUCUUGGCUUGCUGCAACCUCCGCCUCCCAGGUUCAAGCGAUUCUCCUGUCUCGGCCUCCCAAGUAGCUGGGACAACGGGUGUGCACCACCACGCCCUGCUAAUUUUUGUAUUUUAAAUGGAGAUGGGGGUCUCACCAUGUUGGCCAGGCUGGUCUCAAACUCCUGACCUCAGGUGAUCCACCCACCUCGGCCUCCCAAAGUGCUGGAAUUACAGGCGUGAGCCACCACACCUGGCCCAUGUGUCUUAGUCUUUUUUACUAAUAUUGAUUAUAAAAUGGGUGAAACUUUGGAUAAAAUUUCUACAUUAGAAUUUCUUUUUAUAUCUGUCCUAAAGCUUGUAACUACUUGCUCAUGAUUUUUUUGUGUAUGUUUAGCAAUGUGCAUGUCAUUGAUGGCCUUUGUAAAAGUAUGUUCAAUUGAGUUGUGGAGACAGAGGUGCAAUUGGAGUAGGUUGUAAGAAUAAAAAGGAGUAGGCAAAAAGGCACGGGUAUACCAGUGGCCUUCAAAGGGUACUCAGACUUUCUUCUUAAGGGACCAAUUCCCAGAUCUUCAGUUUCAUAUAAACUCUUUCCUAAAAUU